CCCUAUUAUGCUUUUAAUGUUCUAGGGGGCCUUGAUAGUGAAGGAAAGGGCUGUGUCUACACUUAUGAUGCUGUUGGCUCCUAUGAGAGGGUUGGAUAUAGUGCUCAGGGUUCUGGUUCCACUCUUAUCAUGCCUUUCCUGGAUAACCAACUGAAGUCUCCCAGUCCUCUCUUAUUGCCUGCCCAGGAUGCUGUAACUCCACUUUCAGAACUGGAAGCUGUUGACCUUAUAAAAACUGUUUUUGCAUCUGCAACUGAGAGAGAUAUAUAUACAGGAGACAAACUUGAAAUUGUUGUCCUAAAUGCUGAUGGUAUUCGACGUGAGUAUAUGGAACUGAGAAAAGAUUAGUUUGUCCAAAUUCUUGUUGGUCUGAUCAUAAUUUCGAGUUGGAAUUACAUGGAUUACCCCUUGGCACUUGUCAAGGUUGAUAUUUCAGCAUUUUCAUCCAAUUGAUCCGUUUAACUUCUAAAUUAGUCGAACUUGAACAAUGUAUUUCCAGUAUAGAUGUUCAGUGAUGAUGCAAUUCAUGCUGUU
rnacentral:misc_RNA from 1 species